rnacentral:rRNA from 1 species
UACGAAGGGGGCUAGCGUUGUUCGGAAUUACUGGGCGUAAAGCGCACGUAGGCGGAUAUUUAAGUCAGGGGUGAAAUCCCGGGGCUCAACCCCGGAACUGCCUUUGAUACUGGGUAUCUCGAGUCCGAGAGAGGUGAGUGGAAUUCCGAGUGUAGAGGUGAAAUUCGUAGAUAUUGGGAAGAACACCAGUGGCGAAGGCGGCUAACUGGUCCAGAUCUGACGCUGAGGUGCGAAAGCGUGGGGAGCAAACAGG